CCAGCCUGGACGACAGAGCAAGACCCUGUCUCAAAAAAAAGAACCCAAAAGCAACAAACCGUCUUGAUUGUUCUGAAGCCUUUCAAGAGCAAUCACCUCAUACAUGUUCUUCCAGAAACACCAGCAGCAUGCAUGAAACAAAGUAGCUGACCUAGACCUAAGGUGAUGUGUGAAGCUCCUCGUGUGCCUCUGAAGAAAGACGGUGUAUAAUUCCAGGUAGUGGUGUCGGUAUGCACGGUAUUUGCUCUAGAAAGCAUUCUAAAAGCCAGAGUAGAGGUCUUUGAAAUGUUUUCAGAAGCAUGCCAUAGUUGCUAAGUCACUGGGACCCUCUCACCUCUCAUAUAAACUCCAUUCUUAUAAUGCAGGGGAGCGUUUAAGGCAAAGGCUCUGCAGUAAGCUGAAUGUGACCUGCUGAAAAAAUCGUCUCUCUUCUCUAGGCCCUCUCCUGUGCAAGGGACAUUCUGGGGUACCCCAUCCCUCAGCCAUCAUUUAAUCCCCCAGGCAAGAUAUUUGAGGCUGACUCGCAGCUUCGAAUCAUUCUUCAGGACCCUUCUUGAACAUCGCGUCCUUAUGGAAGCUUUGCCUGACAUCGGCCCAGUCCCACCAAGCAGAACUACAUGUCUCUGCUCCCGGCUCCUGCAAAGCCAUUGCAUUCCUCAGCACAACUUUCACCACACUGAACCGACUACAACAGUUGGCUUCCCUGCCCAUGUCCCCAGCUAGUUUGCCAAUAAGUUCAAUGUAUUUGUUUCUGAUUUCUCAGCACCUAGCAGAAUGCUUGGAAUGAAAUAGUCACUCAAUAAAUAUUUAUUGGAUGUUUUGCUUAUAACUCAA